rnacentral:piRNA from 1 species
CAAAGGCCUAACCGAGCAACUGAAAGCAAAC